rnacentral:rRNA from 1 species
AACGCGAAGAACCUUACCUACUCUUGACAUCCAGAGAACUUUCCAGAGAUGGAUUGGUGCCUUCGGGAACUCUGAGACAGGUGCUGCAUGGCUGUCGUCAGCUCGUGUUGUGAAAUGUUGGGUUAAGUCCCGCAACGAGCGCAACCCUUAUCCUUUGUUGCCAGCGGUCCGGCCGGGAACUCAAAGGAGACUGCCAGUGAUAAACUGGAGGAAGGUGGGGAUGACGUCAAAUCAUCAUGCCCCUUAUGUCUUGGGCUUCACGCAUGCUACAAUGGCCGGUACAAAGGGCUGCAAUACCGUGAGGUGGAGCGAAUCCCAAAAAGCCGGUCCCAGUUCGGAUUGAGGUCUGCAACUCGACCUCAUGAAGUCGGAGUCGCUAGUAAUCGCAGAUCAGCAACGCUGCGGUGAAUACGUUCCCGGGUCUUGUACACACCG